rnacentral:rRNA from 1 species
UACAGAGGAUGCAAGCGUUAUCCGGAAUGAUUGGGCGUAAAGCGUCUGUAGGUGGCUUUUUAAGUCCGCCGUCAAAUCCCAGGGCUCAACUCUGGACAGGCGGUGGAAACUACCAAGCUGGAGUACGGUAGGGGCAGAGGGAAUUCCCGGUGUAGCGGUGAAAUGCGCAGAUAUCGGGAAGAGCACCCGUGGCGAAGGCGGCUCUCUGGGACGGUACUGACGCUGAGACGCGAAAGCGUGGGGAGCGAACAGG